CGGCCUCUCGGCCUCUUGCCUCUCUUCCGGUUCUGCACCUCCUUCUCAUGUUCCCUGAAGGCACACCACUAGUUAAUGGGGGAGAAGCCCUGUGCGUACCCCUUCUACCAUGUGGGACUCUAUGGCUUCCAGCACCCUAUUCCUGUUGGCCUGUAAUAGCUUAUCCUGUUUGCCGCAAACACAUCAUCAAAUACCCAAGGCAGAGAUCAGACCCCAUUCUUUGCACUAGGGUCAGUAACCAGCCAUCCCAUUUCAUUUGGCUAAGGACAAGCUGAAGACAGGAAAGCAACGCUGGGAAAACAAUGACGCCCCAGUAUUCUCUGACUUAAGACAGCUUCCUGCAGGUGCACUGCUGCAUGGAAAUUCUAGCAUAUUCUAACCAGAAGUGGCCUCGGUGGCCACACGGUCCAACCUCCUUACUUUCAAUAGGAGAAGGAAGCCCAGGACAAGGAGAUGCCACCAAUCCCCUGGGCAGCUUCUGGUGCAUAAAACCCUCACCCGGGCAAGGAGCACCGUGGGCCCUGUCCUCCAGCCCUCGCAGAGCCUGGCUGCUGGCACAUGACUCUCCUUGACAAUGAAGUGUUGCAUGGAUCUCCUCCGCUGAAAUAUUAACCUGUGCACUGACUGCUGUGAUCCUGUGCGUCGCCAAGGGCCAUACCCCCACCCCCUCCAAUACCAAGCAGGUAACCGCCAGCUCCUAGUGCCCAGAGAGAGCUAACAUUUUGGUGGAUGGAGAAGGCUGUCCCACCUUCUCUGUUUUCUUUCUUCCACGAUGUCAUCCAAGCCACCCAUGGGUUUUACACUCUUCUUAUCUCAGGUGUUUCUGCUCUAACCAAAACCACAAUCUCUCUCAACAGUUAGGACACCGUCUUAGAUCCAGAGAAGCGCACCAGCCUCUGAAGUGGGCCAAGCCAUUCCCCCACCCCAAGGCUCACAGCACCCAGACAGGAACUAACAGAAGACGAUGGGUUGCUGUUACGAUUUUCCAAAGGGAUUUAAGCAAGCACAGGCUCUUCUUUUUGCUCGCCCCACCAGAAAACUCUAUUUCCCCAUUAUCAUGACCCCUCUGGGAAGACCCAAUAUGUCCCGCUACAGUGGAAAAAAGGGAAUGCACCUUUUGCUACCAGAGAACAAACCGUCCAGAUUGACCCUGGCUGGGAAAGACUCCAGCAACCAAUUCUUCUGCCUCUAUCCACAGGGCAAGUCCAGCCAGGGGAUCCAGGGGGAGCCGUCAGUGAAACCACCCCCCAUCUUGCCAUUGCUUGAACAGUACUCCCUGGCCCUUCAUGCCAGGUGGGCACAUCCACUGCCCUCUCCUCACCACCCCUUGCCCUUGAACAUCUCAAGGAGGCCUAUCUCUUAACCUAAACUUCCUACCUAAAAAUAGAAAUGACAUCUAGAAUUACAGAAACAAGUCUGGCCCAAUCCGGCCUCAUGGUGCUACUUGGUACUGUAUGCUGCAGGCCAGAGCAAAAUAAAUGUUUCUUUCUUGAGAGAGACAUCACAAUAGGCACAACUGCGUGCUGUGUGUUCCAGCUCCCUCUCUGAGCCUUCUUGCCUGAUGGCACACGCGUGCAGGGCUGGAAGGGCAGACCUGCGUCACUGUGGCAAACCUGCUCUCCUGGUUUUCUGUUAGCGCCAUGUGCAAAUUACUCAGCAGAAAAGGCCAAGAGAAGCUAUAACAUCUUUAUCUGAAGCAACUGAAAAAGUUGGUUUUUGCAAGUAUGGCUGUCGGAAACACCAAAGCAGCACUUACUUAGGUUCUUCUCAGGGAUGGAUACAGGCUGGCUAGGAGAAGGUGGG
rnacentral:lncRNA from 1 species